rnacentral:rRNA from 1 species
GUCGUAACAAGGUUUCCGUAGGUGAACCUGCGGAAGGAUCAUUAUCGAACUGGGUUAGAUUGUUGCUGGCUCAUCGUGCACGUCUACCUUUUAUUACACACACCUGUGCACCUAUUGUAGGCUCUCGAAAGAGAAUCUAUGUCUUUGAUAACCAUACCUAAUGGAUUAGAAUGAUUUAUAUGAAUACAACUUUCAGCAACGGAUCUCUUGGCUCUCGCAUCGAUGAAGAACGCAGCGAAUUGCGAUAAGUAAUGUGAAUUGCAGAUUUUCAGUGAAUCAUCGAAUCUUUGAACGCACCUUGCGCUCCUUGGUAUUCCAAGGAGCAUGCCUGUUUGAGUGUCAUUGAAUUAUCAACCAAAUUCAUUUUGGCUUGGACUUGGGAGUUGCUGGCAAGUUGGUUGUCAGCUGUCCUGAAAUGCAUUACCGUGACAUGCACGGCUUCCGACGUGAUAAUGAUCGUCGUGGGCUGGAGUGUCCUUUGAUCUUGACUUGACCUCAAAUCAGGUAGGACUACCCGCUGAACUUAAGCAUAUCAAUAAGCGGAGGA